GACGAACGCUGGCGGCGUGCUUAACACAUGCAAGUCGAGCGGAGCGGCGAACGGGUGAGUAACGCGUCAGUUCCUGCCCCCCUCUCUGGGAUACCAGUUGGAAACGGCUGCUAAUACCGGAUAGUGGGGGAUGACUCGCGUCCGAUCAGCUUGUUGGUGGGGUAGUGGCCGACCAAGGCGACGAGGGGUAGCCGGCCUGGGAGGGCGACCGGCCACAAGGGGCUGAGAGACGGCCCAGACUCCUACGGGAGGCAGCAGUGGGGAAUAUUGCACAAUGGGGGAAACCCUGAUGAAGCAACGUCGCGUGCGGGAUGACGGCCUGCGGGUUGUAAACCGCGUUCAGCCAUGACGCGGUAGUGGCAGAAGAAGCAACGGCUAACUACGUGCCAGCAGCCGCGGUAAUAC
rnacentral:rRNA from 1 species